AUCAGUUUAUGAUCGCCGACCGAGUAACAUGUCAGUCUUUUGAAAAAAACCAUACAGUGCAUGUGAUUGUCUACUUCGUUUUCGCUUUACAGAUCAGAUCUACAUAGCAUUUCGGCAGGUAAAUUCGUUUAACAAUUUCUGCAUGUAAUUCUCUUUUUUUGACGAAUUGUAAGCUAUAACUACUGCAAUAUUUUCACGUUCUCCAACGCCUCCUACAAAUUAAUACUAGACAAUAGGACCAAAAGUGUAAAUAAUACA